rnacentral:rRNA from 1 species
UACGUAGGGUGCGAGCGUUGUCCGGAAUUAUUGGGCGUAAAGAGCUUGUAGGCGGUCUGUCGCGUCUGCUGUGAAAAUCCGGGGCUCAACCCCGGACUUGCAGUGGGUACGGGCAGACUAGAGUGUGGUAGGGGAGAAUGGAAUUCCUGGUGUAGCGGUGAAAUGCGCAGAUAUCAGGAAGAACACCCGUGGCGAAGGCGGUUCUCUGGGACGGUACUGACGCUGAGACGCGAAAGCGUGGGGAGCGAACAGG